UAGUCCACGCCGUAAACGAUGGUCACUAGCUGUUCGGACUUCGGUCUGAGUGGCUAAGCGAAAGUGAUAAGUGACCCACCUGGGGAGUACGUUCGCAAGAAUGAAACUCAAAGGAAUUGACGGGGGCCCGCACAAGCGGUGGAGCAUGUGGUUUAAUUCGAUGAUACGCGAGGAACCUUACCAGGGCUUAAAUGUAAGUUGCAUUAGCUAGAGAUAGUUAUUUCUUCGGACUACUUACAAGGUGCUGCAUGGUUGUCGUCAGCUCGUGCCGUGAGGUGUCAGGUUAAGUCCUAUAACGAGCGCAACCCCUGUUGUUGGUUGCCAGCGGUUCGGCCGGGGACUCUAAGAAAACUGCCCGCGCAAGCGGUGAGGAAGGUGGGGAUGACGUCAAAUCAUCACGGCCCUUACGUCCAGGGCCACACACGUGCUACAAUGGCGUUGACAGAGGGCAGCUAUACCGCGAGGUAAUGCUAAUCCCGAAACACAUCUCAGUUCGGAUUGGAGUCUGCAA
rnacentral:rRNA from 1 species